rnacentral:rRNA from 1 species
GACGAACGCUGGCGGCGUGCUUAACACAUGCAAGUCGAACGGUAAGGCCCUUCGGGGUACACGAGUGGCGAACGGGUGAGUAACACGUGGGUGAUCUGCCCUGCACUUCGGGAUAAGCCUGGGAAACUGGGUCUAAUACCGGAUAGGACCACUGCCUGCAUGGGUGGUGGUGGAAAGCUUUUGCGGUGUGGGAUGGGCCCGCGGCCUAGCAGCUUGUUGGUGGGGUGAUGGCCUACCAAGGCGACGUCGGGAGGCCGGCCUGAGAGGGUGACCGGCCACACUGGGACUGAGAUACGGCCCAGACUCCUACGGGAGGCAGCAGUGGGGAAUAUUGCACAAUGGGCGCAAGCCUGAUGCAGCGACGCCGCGUGAGGGAUGACGGCCUUCGGGUUGUAAACCUCUUUCAGCACCGACGAAGCGCAAGUGACGGUAGGUGCAGAAGAAGGACCGGCCAACUACGUGCCAGCAGCCGCCGCCG